rnacentral:rRNA from 1 species
CUAUCAGCUUUCGACGGUAUGGUAUUGGCUUACCGUGGCAGUGACGGUUAACGGGGGAUUAGGGUUCGAUUCCGGAGAGGGAGCCUGAGAAACGGCUACCACAUCUAAGGAAGGCAGCAGGCGCGCAAAUUACCCAAUUCUAACAGCAUAAGAGAGGUAGUGACAAGAAAUAACAAUACAAGGUAAUUAAAUUGCUUUGUAAUUGGAAUGAUAGAAAUUUAAACACUUUUUAAAGUAUCAAUUGGAGGGCAAGUCUGGUGCCAGCAGCCGCGGUAAUUCCAGCUCCAAUAGCGUAUAUUAAAAUUGUUGCAGUUAAAAAGCUCGUAGUUGAAUUUCUGUUAAAAAUAACCGGUCUGCUUUUAUUAAAAGUGGUAUCUUGGUGUGUUUUUAGCAAUAAUGUCCUUUGAAAUGUUUUUUACUUUAUUGUAAUAAGUCAUUAUUUUGAGGAUUUUUACUUUGAGAAAAUUAGAGUGUUUCUAGCAGGCUUACGCUUUUGAAUACUGCAGCAUGGAAUAAUAAGAUAGGAUUUUAGUUCUACAUUAUUGGUUUUAAGAACUAAAUUAAUGAUUGAUAGGGAUAGUUGGGGGCAUUUGUAUUUAACUGUCAGAGGUGAA